ensembl:antisense Gm29083 predicted gene 29083
AAAAGGAAAGGCGGAGAGGCAGGGGAAGAGCUGGCUCCCCUCACUCCAGUGCCUGGUUGGAGGUAAACAGCCUCCCUGGGCCAGGAGGGAAGGGGCAACCUUCAAAGGCAGAAAAGAGAUAUAUAUAUCUUAGUGGACUACAUAUAUGCAUGGGGUCCUUGGAGUGCAGAAGAGGGCAUCGGACUUCCUGGAACUCUCCUGGAGUUACAGAUGGUCCUGAGUCACCAUGCAAGUGCUGGGAACUGAAACUGAGUCCUCUCUGAAAGAGCAGAAAGUCCCUUUAACCAUUGAGCCAUCUCUCCAGCCCCACCAUGGUGAGGACUUUUAAAUCAUCAGAAUUCUGCUUGUUUGCUUCAACAGCCAGAACCCUGUGACCACAGAUGAAAAGCAAACAGAUCCCAAGUUAACUGAAGGGAUAGAAAGCAUCAACAGGGACACUUGGUAGUUGGCUGACUCUGGAGUAGUGAGGUAACUGUCAAAGGUAUUAUGUGUGCAUACAUGUAUAGAUGUGUAUAUGGAGGAUUAAAAAGGGGGAUAAACUUACUCCUUCCUUGAGUGGGGCCUUCCUACGUUUCACCUUUAUAUGUUUAGUUCGAUGUGUGGAUUGUAUUAGGUGUGUAGUUACACGUUUUUAUGUUUUAAGAGGUGAUACUCUUUCCUCUUGGAUGAAUACUUUACCCAGAAUUUCAAAGUACAAUAGAGAUAGAAGAGAAAUUCACCUUGGAUGCUCC